GAAGAGAUAAGAGGCGCGCGUUUAGAGAUGGAGGUGCAAGAAGAAAGUGAAGAAAUGGUGUGUAGCUUUGCAAAGUUGUUUUUUUUUUUUGGAAUUGGAGAGGCGAAAUAGACAGCUUUGCAAAGUUGUCUCCCAGAUGAUAUUGCCCUCAAAAUCGCCUCUUCCCUUCAGCUAUCAGAUGUGUGUUCGUUGGGUAGUUGCUCGUGGUUCAGCAUGCAGCUCAUCUGGAUUUGGACACAUCCACGUCUUUCUUUGGUGUUUAUGAUGGCCAUAGAGGUGGUGUGACUUUCCUUACAUAGUUUGGGGCAAGAGGUGAAGCAACUCUCUGACCUCAGGUGACUUCCAAAAACGAUCAAGCACAAGGCUGAUGCUUCAAAACCAUAUAUAUUCCUUCCUGUGUAGAAUGUUUUUUGGAUUCCUUCAUUGAUUCUCCUUUUAAUUUUUGUUCAAUUACUUAUUGGUUUUCAAUGGAUGGAUGUUUAAAACUUGUCUCAAUUAAUGUUUUGAAUGGAAUGAUUGUAAAGUUUGGGAUUGAGCAGGAAAAUAUGAUGAAUUUUAAUGUUAUAUUUAGGUUGGGUUGAA